GAGUUUGAUCCUGGCUCAGAUUGAACGCUGGCGGCAUGCCUUACACAUGCAAGUCGAACGGCAGCACGGGAGCUUGCUCCUGGUGGCGAGUGGCGAACGGGUGAGUAAUGCAUCGGAACGUAUCCUGGAGUGGGGGAUAACGUAGCGAAAGUUACGCUAAUACCGCAUAUUCUGUGAGCAGGAAAGCGGGGGACCUUCGGGCCUCGCGCUCUUGGAGCGGCCGAUGUCGGAUUAGCUAGUUGGUGAGGUAAAGGCUCACCAAGGCGACGAUCCGUAGCAGGUCUGAGAGGAUGAUCUGCCACACUGGAACUGAGACACGGUCCAGACUCCUACGGGAGGCGAGCAGUGGGGAAUUUUGGACAAUGGGGGCAACCCUGAUCCAGCCAUGCCGCGUGAGUGAAGAAGGCCUCGGUU
rnacentral:rRNA from 1 species